CUCUACACUAAACCAGCUCAUGUUUCUUGUUUUUUGUUUGCCUGAAUCAAACCGGUACCCUCUUUCUUUGCUUGAACCAGUCUGCUUUACUAGACCAAACCAGACCAAUUGAUUCAUAUCAUUCAUUAUUCGGCCAACUUGCAUUACAUGUUAAAUAAUUAUAAUAAUUCGAAAAAAGAACUUCAAUUAUCAAUCAUAUAUAUAUAUUAUUUUAUUUAUUUAUUUAUACAUUAUUUUUUCUAAAGUUGCCACAUGGCAACUUUUUCUUCAUUUUUGAGUGUGUGCUCCAUCCAAACCAGCUAAAGUCCUUCCUCUUCCUUUUCCUUCGGCUGUUAUUUUCGUUCUACGGCAAAAUGAAUUCCACCCCUCAUUAUCGCUUUUUUUAGCGCUGUUUCUUUUCUUUUUUUUUUUAUCGAUGUUUUCUAUAUAUUUUCUAAUUAUCUAUCCGUCGCAUCGUACGGGUUACUACGCUAGUAUAUAUAUAUAUAUAUAGUAGAGCUAGAAUAUUUUCAAAAGCACUAUGAAAGUGGUGCUUUUGAGUUUUGAGCCAUUGGAUGGAGAGAUGUGAGGUUGAGAUGAUAGUGGUAGGUGGUGGUAGGUGGAAUAGUGUUUGAUCCAAGAGCUAUUAGUAAUCAAGGAGUGAUACUUGUAAAAGUAUUCUAGCUCAA
rnacentral:lncRNA from 1 species